GCCGGGGUGGCGAAAUGGCAGACGCGGCGGACUUAAAAUCCGCUUCCCGCAAGGGAAUGUGGGUUCGAUUCCCGCCCCCGGCACCA
rnacentral:tRNA from 1 species